AUUAGUAUAGGUUAAAUUUAAACUUUUGAACUUAUUCUUCAAAGAUGUAUUAAGGUGCUAUUGAUA
rnacentral:tRNA from 1 species